rnacentral:rRNA from 1 species
UACAGAGGUCUCGAGCGUUGUUCGGAUUCAUUGGGCGUAAAGGGCGCGUAGGCUGCGGGGCAAGUCGGGUGUGAAAUCUCAGAGCUCAACUCUGAAACUGCACUCGAUACUGCUUUGCUCGAGGACUGGAGAGGAGAUUGGAAUUCACGGUGUAGCAGUGAAAUGCGUAGAUAUCGUGAGGAAGACCAGUGGCGAAGGCGGAUCUCUGGACAGUUCCUGACGCUGAGGCGCGAAGGCCAGGGGAGCAAACGGG